GUGAGGGAAGGGGCCGCGGGCGCGCGCGCGCUCUCGCCGCCUCUCGCCCUCCCUCCCUGCCCCCCUCUCCGCACACAGAACCACACACGCACACCCCCUCCCCCGCCUCCCUCCCCGCGCGCCUCCCGCCCCGCCGGCCCCGCUCGCCCUCGCGCGCUCGAAAGGCAGUGGCGAGACGUCGGAGCGGCGGCCACGUAGCGCCGCGGCGGCGGCGGCGGCGGCAGUCGCCGAGGCCGGGUCUGCGGAGCGGCCCUCAGGACAGACAUUGGGCGGGGUGAGGGGCCGGCCCGGCCGGCGGUUGUUACUCGAGCGCCGCGGCUACAGGCCCCCCGCCGCAGGGAUGGACCCCCGAGGCGGCGGUCGGGAAGGCGGAGGCGGAGGCGACCGGCCCGGCUUCAGGAUCUUUCUGACCUUGAAGAAAGUGAAAAUGAAGAUAUUGUGGCACGACAUCAGAAGCAAGGCCUGAAGUUCCGUGCUUUAGAGGUGGUGUUGCCGUCCUGUGAGGGCAGGAGUCCUGGAACUGGCAUGGCUGAGGAACCCUUGCACAAGCUGGAGGAAGGGCCAUUAUCAUUCCUUAUGAAAAGGAAGAUAACCCAGAAGCUUGCUAUUCAAAAGUCUAUGACAGAUGCAUUCCAGAAACUGCUGGUUGUGGUUUUAGGUCAGCUACUUUUCUUGGAAGCAGUGUGGCCAAGGGGAGGAAGAAUGUCUCUCAGAUGUCAGCUUUGAGGAGGAGGAGUUCAGAUGCCCAGAACUGGGCUAGCACUUUUGAAUUUCCAGGAAGUCCGGGCCCUGUGACUUCCUUGGGAAGCUCUGCACCACCUCACCCCCACCCCUGCGCUGCUGGAGUCUGGGGCCACUCUGGUCUGCAGCCCAAAUCCUGCCUUGUUGUGCCAGGGGGCCAGGCUGGGGUUGGAGAGAGGGCCCGGCAGGAGGCAUGGAGUCAAAUGGAGAGCUGCCUGCAGGGCCAUAUGAAGAUGCUGCUGUUCCACGUCAAGUUCUGCAGGAGGCCCCCUCUCAGCCUCCAGAGAGCCCUGAGGAGGUGGAACCUUCUCCAGUCCAGGAGGAAGCUCCAUCUCAGCCUCCAGAGAGCCCCGAGGAAGUGGAACCUUCACUUGAGCAGGAGGCCCAGGCUCAGCCUGCAGAGCAUCCUGAGGAGGCGGAACCUCCUCCAUUCCCUCAGGAGGCCCAGGCUCAGCCUGCAGAGCGCCCUGAGUAUGACUCUGCCCCACUCCAGCAAGAGUCCCCAUCGCAAGUUCCAGGGUUCCCUGGUGAGAAUGUACCUCAGUUUCCAGUGAGUGAUGAGGCAGCAGCUCGACCUGGAAGUAAGUAUCCAGUUCACUCCAACCCAUCCAGUGUUAGACUUAAACCGGUGGAUUUGGAACUUACGGUCACUCCAGAGCCUGCUAAGGAAGGCGAGUUUACCGCAGCCCAGCAGGAGGCCCUGCCUCAGCCUCUUGAGUAUUCUGUGGAGGCAGAACCUUCUCCAACCCCGCAGGAUGCCACAGGUCCACCUCCAGAGCCUCCUGAGGAAGCUGAGCCUUCUCCGGGUGGAGAGGGACAACUGGCUCAGCCUUAUGAGCCUAAUGGGGAAGUUGUACCCUUUUCAACCCAGCAGGAGAGCCCAGCUCAGCCCACAGAGCAUCCUGAGGUGGUGAAACCAGCCACCCAGCAGGAGAGCCCAGCUCAGUCUCCAGCAGAGAUAGAGCCUUCCGCAACCCAGCAGGAAAGCACAGCUCAGCGUCCAGAGUCUCCUGCUGAGGUCGAACCCUCUCCAGCUCAUUCUCAAGAGCCUGAUGUGACAGCAGCUUCUCCGCCAGGCCAGGAUCAAGCUCAGUCUCUGCAGCAGCCCAGUGUCACUGUGAAACCUGUGGACCUUGCACUCACCAUAACUCCAGGGCCCACAGGUGAAGCUGAACCUUCUCCGCCCCAACAAGAGGCCUCAGCUCAGUCUGCAGGGUUCCCUGAGCAGUUGGAACCAUUAUUGGUCCAGCAGGAGGCUCCAGAUCAGCCUCCAGCCCCCUCGGGAAGUGGUGAACCUUCUCCAGUCCAGCUUGAGCCCCCAGCUCAGCCUCCAGAGACCUCUACAGCUGCCACAGCUCAACCUCCAAUCCAUAACGAGGUGACGUUCUCACCUGCAGGUCCAGGUGAAGCUCAGCGUCCAGUGAUGCCUGGUACCACAGGUGAACCCCUGGAUCUGGCAGUUGUCAUCACUCCAGAGCCUGCUAAGGAGGCUGAAAGUUCUCCAGAGCAGCAGGAGGGUUCUGCUUAUUUUCCCAUUUCCCCCGAGCAGGCUGAAUUUUCUCCAGUUCAGUCCAAGCCUCUGUCUCCAUCUCCAGAGCCCCCUGGGAAGAUUGACUCUUUUCCAGGCCAACAAGAGGCCACAGCUCAGACUGCAGGUCCCCCUGAGGGGGUGGGGCUUUCUUCGGUCCAGGAGGAGGCCCUGGCUCAGCCUCCAGAGCCACCUAAGGAGGCUGAGAUGACAGUUGGAACACCAGGACAGAAUCAAGCUCAGCAUUCCAGCUCGCCCAGUGUCACUGAUAAACCUUUGGACCUGGGGCUUACCGUGACUCCAGGGUCUCUUACAGCGGCUGGAUACUCUGCAUCCCUGCAGCAGACAUCUCAUCCAACAUACAUGGAGGUGACACCUCCACAGGCAGAGCAGGUACUGGCUCAGCAUCCAUCCAUGACUGAGUUCACAGUUCAACCUCUGGAUCUGGAAGUUACACUAAGUCCAGAACCUAAUACAGAGGCUCAACCUUCUCCAGCCAUGCAGGGGACCCCAACUUGGCCUCCAGAGCCCCAUCAGCCUUCAUUGUAUCAGGAGGUGACAGUUCCCACACCAGACCAGGAUCACCUUGAGCAUCUAAUGUCAUCUAGUGUCAUAGAUAAACCUUUGGAUCUGGAGCUUACCGUGACUUCAGAACCUACUACAGAAGCUGAACAUUCCACAUCUCCUCCUCCAGAACACCCUGAGGUGACACACUCCCCUUCAAGCAUCACUCCAGUCACAGUUCACACUGUGGACCUGGAAGUUACUGUAACUGGAGCAUCCAGUGUGGAUGUUGAACCUUCUCCAACCAAGCAAGAGACCCCAACUCAGCCUCCAGAGCCACCAAAGGAGGUUGUCGUUCAAUAUCCACCCCAUCAGGUGGUGACCAUUCCAACUCCAAGUAAGGGUCAUGGUCAGCACACAACACCAUCCAGUGUCACACCUCAUCAUGUAGACCUGGAGCUAACCAUGACUUCAGAACCUGCUGUGGAGGCUCAACAUUCUACAGUCCUCUGGAAGACUACAGCUCCUUCUCCUGAGGUGGCACUUGCACACCCAGACCUGACUCGAGUCACAGUUCCACCUGUAGACCAGGAAUUUACCACAACUCGGCACCCAGGGUCACUGAAGACACCUGCUUCGACUGAGCCUUCAGUGGUACAGUCUGUAACAUACACCUCAGAAAAGGAGCAACCGGAACAGAGCGCUCCCACAAGCGUGAACAUCUGUCAGCUCUGCACCUGCAGUAAUGAGACCUUGUCCUGCGUUGGUCUCAGCCCAAAGGAGAGGCUCCGCAGAGUGCCCGUGCCAGAGCCCAACAGCUACAAUGGCACCUUCACUGUCCUAGAUUUCCAAGGAAACUCUAUUUCUUACAUUGAUGAAAAUACAUGGAAGCCUUACCGGUGGACUGAGAAACUAAUUCUCAGAGAUAAUUCUUUGACUGAGUUACAUAAGGAUUCAUUUAAAGGCUUGCUAGUCCUCCGGUAUUUAGAUUUAUCUUGCAAUAAAAUACAGUUUAUUGAAAGCGGUACAUUUGAAUCACUACCUUUUCUGCAGUUUGUCAAUCUUGGUUGUAAUUCAGUCACAGACCUGAGCUUUGGAACGUUCCGGGCCGCACAUGGAAUGCAGUUUCUACAGAAGGUAAUUCUUAGUCAUAAUCCUUUGACAACAGUUGAAGAUUCUUAUCUUUUUAAAUUGCCAGCAUUAAGAUAUUUAGACCUGGGAAAAACAGAAGUCUCACUUACAACAAUUGAAAGAAUCCUCAUGAUGAGCCUUGAAUUAGAAAAACUAAUCUUACCUAGCCGUCGGACCUGCUGCCUCUGCCAAUUUAAAAAUACUAUUGAAGUUGUCUGCAAGACAGUCAAACUGCACUGUGACAGGGACUGCCUGACAGAGACCACACAUUGUGGUGAAGGAGCAGCUGUAGGGAACAUAGAAGGAUCGUUCAUGAAGGUGUUAGAAGCCCGGAAAAAUAAUACCAGCACCGAGCUGAUUAUUGAGUCAGAGAAGGCGUCCUCGGACAAACAUGAUGUCAGCUUCUCAGCCUUCGUCGAUGAACAGCUAGACUUUAAUGAUGAAACUGAUGUUAUCAGUGCACUAAAUUAUGUACUGCCUUAUUUCUCGGAGGGAAGUCUAGAAGAUUUAGAGACAGCAUUUUUACCAUUCAUUAAACUUCUUUUUUUACACCUACAAGAUGGAGAUAAGCCCCUGGGUUAUUUGGGAAAAAACACAAGGAAUCAUUUUGUUAAACCUGAAUCCAACAAUUUACUUUAUAAAAAUAAGUUGCAGACAUUCUAUCAUCUGAAAAAAUGGGCAGAUUCACAAAUGCAAAAAAAAAUCGAAGUUAAAAAGAAGGAAAAAACUGCCAGGCAUGUACAUGCCAAUCCUUUGGGUCACAAAUUAUGGCAGACCUUUCAAAAGGAAUUGGACACUGCCCAACCACAGGAAAACAGCCCAGCAAAGACUGAGAGUGUAGGGGAAAGGCUGCAGGGAGUGGACUGGGUCCUCAAGGACCCAGAUGUCAUCAUCAAAGGAAGUGUCAAUGAACUGAAGCAUUGGGGGAAACAGAAUGCCCAGCCAGCUGCGGAGAACACUGCCAAGGAAGAGGCGCUCAGGAGGCUGGCCCCAGGAGCCAGGGGGCAGCUUCACAUGAUGCGGAGGCCCCGGAAGUUAGUGGGAAGCUCUUUCAACACAAAACCUUUGUUUAUAAAUGAAGAUAAAGCAGCAGUCUCUUCUUCCCUGCCUCCUGCCUCCACCCCUCCUAAAUCUGAGGUUAAACAGGAAUCAAAAGACUUAUCCUACACUAUUUUAGAAGAUGCAGAAAGUAUAGUUAGAAAUAUGGAAGCUUCUAAACCGACCUCGCGUCCCAGAAAAAAACACAUGUUUCUUGGUCCUCGCUCUCGUGCGAUGCACAGAGCAUUCCAGGCUGAAAGGAACCACCAUUUGAAAAGGGAAGAGCUGCUCAGAAUAUCUGCAGGUGGGCCUCCAUCCUCUGCAGUGAGGAGCCUCAUAAACCCUCCUUCACGAGAAGCUAUUUCUUCAGAGGAACAACUGAAUUCUCAGGAAAAUCCUCUGGAAGAAUUUUCUCCUUCAGACCCUCUUGUAGGAAAGGUGACUCUGCCAGAAGGAGCUAUGUCUGAAGUCGCUGCCCAUACGGAUGUUCCCAGCACAUAUUCUGUUACUGCAGGCAACUUUAUGCCAACUGUUGAACACACGGAUGAAACACAACAGGAAUACCACAACGUGGGCACUGAAUUACCCUCUAAACCCACCGGCUUCACUUCCCCAGGGCCUUCAUCCUUGGGUGACCAGUUUGAAAUCCAGGUAAACCAGCAGCUACGGUCCAUCAUCCCGAAUGAUUAUAUGAGAAGCCUUAUUUCACAUUUGAUCCGGACUCUGAAACUGGACUGCACUGAGACGCACGUGAAGCUGUCCUGUGCCAAGUUCUUCACCAGAACAGGCCUCCUGAUAAAGCUGCUCAGUGAACAGCAAAAAGCAAAGAUGUCCAAGGCAGAGGGGAAUACCGACCUAUGGAAAGCUGAGAACUAUAUCAGUGAGAGCACAGAAGACCGGAGUGAACAGACAAGGAUGGAGUCAAAUGAGCUCACAGAAGAAGUUCCGGGGUCCAGCUAUACCAACAAACUCAUCUUCACAAUAUCACUAUCUGUGACAGUAACUGCAGUAGUGGCAGUCUUGGUUAUAAAUUUCUGCCUUUUUGAGAUUUAUUCUCACAGAACAGCAGCAAAGGGCCAUAAAAAAAGCAUAAGGGGCUUCUUUCAGUUUGUGCUGUGUAGAAAAUGCCCAGAGGAAAGCGAGAGUCAGGAGGACUUCUGGAGGAUGCAGCCGCUCUGGCUCAGGGACUUGUACAGACCUCUCAGUGCCACACGCAAGAAAAAUAUGGCACAGAAGCUACAUGAUGAGUCUUCUGAUGAAGAGAUUUUCAGUAGGGUUGUGAGGGCACCCAGAGAUGGCGCAGCUGACGUGGUUCUGACCAUUGAGCCGGAAGAGCCGGAUGAGGAGAGUGAGACGGCACCGGGGAGCGACGCGAUAGUUCAGAGUGCCAGAAUUUGACCAGAGCUGAUGGAAAAGUGACAUUAUUCACCUUUUAAUGCUUCUGGGUCUCUAAAACACCAAGAAUGAGAACUACCCCAAUUGUCUUUUUAACCAAAGAGGAUAUGAUUACAAAUGCAUAUGUAUCUGUGUGAAUGAAUGACCAAAUCAUGGAGGGAAUGAAGGUAUUUCAUGUAGGGAAUUUUCAAGGUUGGCCAGUAAAAACAUUACAUAAACUUGAAGAUUUGAGAUCUAUUCUGUUCACUGUUGUACCUUCAGUGCUUAGACAGGGCUGACAGUGACAACUUAAUAAAUUUCUAUCAAAUGAAUAAAUCCUGCAAUAUCAUGUUUAACCAGUGAAUGCAACAAUUUUGAUGAUUGCCUAAUUUUGCUGUUAUGGGUAAACCCAAGAAGGCCAAAUAGUAUGCAAUAUUUCAAAUAUUUUCUAUAGUGAAAUAUUAAGUACCAAAGAAGAUAGAAUCAAAGAAAAGCUAAGGCUGUAGACUUUUGGGAGAACUCCGUGCCACUUAACUGCUCUCACGUUACUCCUCUGAAUCUGAAGUCAAGGAAAGUUGACCUCCCCUACUCAAUUUCUUACAACAUUCCUAAGGAUCUAUGUGUAUAUUGAUAACUUUCAAUGCAAAUAAAAAUCACUGCACCAGUAUGUCAAGCCAUUGUUGCACCCAUCCCCCUUUGCUUCUGUCAAACAAGCUGUCCUAGGGUAAUUUUCACAUUGUAAUUUAAAUUACUUCAUGUACCAAUGACCUGAGAUUGACUCUGGAAAAGCCUGUCUAGUUGGCAUGUCAAUUUUAACACAGCUGGGGCCCAUUCAGGAAACAAAAAUCCCAUCUGGUAUUUCUGAACCAAGAAGAUUUAAAACAGGGAAAUAGAUACAUAGGUACAUACUGAAAAAGACUAAAGGAGAAAAAAAGAUGGAUGCCAAGGUAACCCAGAGAUUAUUAACUGCACGAAGAAGUAACUUCCCAUAGGACGAGGGGAAUAGAAGGGGAAGGCAAUGUUACCGGGAUCUAGGAGCUCACAAGAUGGUAUGACCACAUAUCUGAUGCUCAGAUCUCUGGGGGAAGCACUGAACAUUGCUGCCUCUUGGUCCUCAGCCAAGGUGACCCAGAAUUUCAUUCCUGAAGGGUCUGAGUCUUCAAAAGUACUGCCCUUUGUUUUUGGUUGCUGGGGUUGCUAUUAAAUCUCUGCUAUUGGACUUACAAGUACAAAGGCAUCCCAGACAGAGUUCCAGACAUGGCCCUCCUUGCCCCCCAUUGUGGAGCAGUGACACAAAGUCCUUGCUAUUUGGGUUAGUCACUCCAGCCAGCAGAGAAAUCCCUCUUUUGUCUGAAUGGCCCACAGAGAUAUACUACAAUUUGGCUGGAUCUUAGCAACUUAGUAGUAAUAUUUAAAAAUGUAAGUCCCCAAAGGUUAUUAUUGAUACCCUUUUAUAAGAUUAUUAACAGUUAAAUAAACCAUAAAAUAAGCCAAAAAAAUUUUUCUGGGAAUAGGUACAUAUGCAAUAAAAAUGUAUUAAAAAAACAAAAGCCGGGGGUGGGGGUAGAGCUCAGUGGUAGAGCAUGUGCGUGAAGUCCUGGGUUCAAUCCCCAGUACCUGUAUUUUAAUAAUAGAAAAGAACAUUUAAAACAAAAGGAAAGCAAAAAUGAGCCGAAGACACAAGAUCAGAGAAAAUUCAAGAGGGGAAAGUCAGAAAAAUGCAAGUGGGUGUACCCUGGAGUAAGAUGUAAGUUAUUACUGAAGUCCUAACUUUCAGGUCGCCUGGUGGGCCUAGGAGUAUUUAUAAUAUUAGAGAGAUAAUAAAAGCUCUGCAUGAAGCAAUGGUGAGAGUUCCUUUUUUUUUUUCUUUUUUUUUUUUUUUUAAGUAUUGUUUUGGGGGAGGUAAUCAAGUUUGUUUAUUUUAAUGGAGGUACUGGGGAUUGAACCCAGGACCUCAUGCAGCCUAGGUAUGCGCUCUACCACUGAGCUUUACCCAACCCCCGAGUUUGUCUUGAAUUAAGAGUUCAUUAAGAGAAGUAAGAGAACAGGGAGGAGUGGUGAGUCCAAAAGUUUAAUUAGGCAGCUCCUAAAGCAAUCUAGAGGAGAGACAGUUAAGAUACAGAUGAAGGAGCUAAAUGUAAAGGUAAUGUGGAAACAGAAAUAGAAUGUGGUAAUUUUUACGAAAGUAGUAAGGAGAUGUCUUAAGUUUGAGCCACUAGAAGAAAAUGAUGCCUUUAAUGAAAUUAAUUAACAAGGGAGUAAUUUAAGAAAAAUUAGUCCAUUUUGGGUGUGUUUUCAAGGGUUCCUGUGGGACAUUUUUGUGUUUGUUUUUGUUUUAUGUUUUUAUUGAAGUAUGGUCAGUUCACAAUAUUGUGUCAAUUUCUAGUGUACAGCACAAUGCUUCAGUCAUAUAGGUACAUACAUAUAUUUGUUUUCAUAUUCCUUUUCACCAUAAGUUACUACAAGAUAUUGAAUAUAGUUCCAUGUGCUAUACAUUAUAAACUUGAUGUUUAUUAUUUUUAUAUUAGAAUUUGCAAAUCUCGAACUUUGGGACAUUUUUGGGAAAAAAAAAGAAAUAAUAGACAACACAAGGAAGAAAAUG